CCUACGGGGGACAGCAGUAGGGAAUCUUGCACAAUGGACGAAAGCCUGAUGCAGCGACGCCGCGUGAGGGAUGAAGGUCUUCGGAUCGUAAACCUCUGUCAGCAGGGAAGAACGGUCACUGUGCUAAUCAGCAGUGAAUUGACGGUACCUGCAAAGGAAGCACCGGCUAACUCCGUGCCAGCAGCCGCGGUAAUACGGAGGGUGCGAGCGUUAAUCGGAAUUACUGGGCGUAAAGCGCUCGUAGGCGGUAUGUCAAGUCAAGGGUGAAAUCCCCGCGCUCAACGGGGGAACUGCCUUUGAAACUGGCAAACUGGAGUGUGUGAGAGGAUGGUGGAAUUCCAGGUGUAGGGGUGAAAUCCGUAGAUAUCUGGAGGAACAUCAGUGGCGAAGGCGACUAUCUGGCACAUAACUGACGCUGAGGAGCGAAAGCGUGGGUAGCAAACAGGAUUAGAUACCCGGGUAGUC
rnacentral:rRNA from 1 species